CUCGUAAAUUCCAGAUUACAGAAGUUGCAUUUAAUUUUCGUAUUUCCACCUCUCUCUUUCAUUUUCACUAAUUUUGUCACAUGUUUCCACAGCGGGUCCUUAU